GGUUUGUGGCUCAGUGGUAGAGGACUUGCCUAGCAUGUGUGAGGUCCUGGGUUCGAUCCUCAGGACCA
rnacentral:tRNA from 1 species